rnacentral:lncRNA from 1 species
UACAGAUUACGCUCUCCUUGACGCAGCUUGUGUGACUCUCCAGGAUUCUCUGGGUUCUGUUUCCUGUCCUGAC